GAAAAAAAAAAUAAAUGAAAAAUAAACGAAACCGCAUCAAGAUCAAGAUCAAGAUGUAAACAAACAAGCGGCCAUAAGAAGAAGAAGAAGAAGAUUCGCACCUAGCUAGCCACGUGAAGAGAAGGGAAAUUUGAUAAAACAGAGGGAAUAGAAGGAAGAGUGAAUGAUAAAGAGGAGUGCAGAGGAGGAAAAUUGAAGAAAAGGAGUGUAAGGAAGAGAAGAGAAGGAGACUAGGUGGCGAUGGUGGUGGUCCAGGUGUGUGGUGACCUGACCUUGGUGUGUGUGGGGGGGGGUCACUGCUUCUUAAUGACCGUAGAACAUCGGAAACCAAAAUUAUUGAUGUAUUUUCAAACAACAACAACAACAAAAAUAACAAAGAUGGACAGACAGACAAACAGACAGAUGCAUCAGGGAAGAAAGAAGAAGAAGAAGAAGAAGAAGAGGAUGUGAAGGAAAGAAAUGGAGGAAAAUGUGAUAAAAAGGGAAUAGAAGAAGAAGAAGAAGAAGAUGGAAGAGGAGAAGAUGAAGAAAAGGAAGAAGAGAAAAUUGAUAAAAAGGAAGAGAAGGAGGAGAAUAAUAGAGACACAGAGAGCCAAACCAUCCUAACUGCCUCGUUCUGCCCUGACGGUCAAUGGCUGGCCCUGGGAUGUGGGUGGAAGGCCCUGGAGGUGUGGAGUGUCCCUGACUGGCGGAGGGUCGUUAGGCACCCGCUCGUUAAGAAGCCAACUGCCACUGUGGUGAAUUGUGGUUGGGUGUAUGUGGCAGACAAAGCUGGUGAUGUUUACAAAUAUCCUCUUCCCUCCUCCUCUUCCUCCUCCUCCUCCUCCUCCUCCUCCUCCUCCUCCUCCAAGGAAGACUCCAGGCCCAUAUUAGGACACCUCUCAAUGCUCCUUGAUUUAACCAUCACCCGAGACAACAAAUUCAUCGUGACCUGCGACAGAGAUGAAAAAAUACGAGUUUCGAUCGCGUCAAGGCCGUUUGAGAUUCACUCCUUCCUUCUGGGUCACCGCGAGUUCGUGACCCAAGUGUCCGUGGUGUCAGAAGCCCCCCCACGCCUCCUCUCCUCCUCUGGGGACGGAACUCUCAAACUUUGGGAUUACGACAACGGGAAGCUUCUCUCCUCAUUAGACACCUCCUCACUUUCCUCCAGUUUCCUCCGCCCCCUUGAGGUGGAGGAGGGGGGUCAAGGGGGGGUUGGAGGGGGGAAGGAUUGCCCCACCCCCCCACCCCAGCACCCCACCCCCACUCCCCCUCCUGUGCCUGCAGUGAGGGGGUUUGCUGUUAGAGAAUUGCCAAGUUCUGCUCAUCUUGUUGCUUUUGUUGUUGAUAGGUAAGAGAGAGAGAGAGAGAGAGAGAGAGAGAGAGAGAGAGAGAGAGAGAGAGAGAGAGACACAAAUACAAACAAACAAAAGACUGAAAACCCUCUCCUCUCCCCUUCAUUCCAGAGCGGCAGCCCAUCUUUCUUUGCCAAUUGAGAGAGGACAGCCUCACCCACCUUUCCACCACAAGAUUACCCACAAUCCCCCUCGCAGCCAAGUGGAGGAGUGGAGAUGAGCUGGUGGUGGUGGAGGAGGGGGCCGGCAUUGAGGUCCUGCGGAGGGGAGGGGAGGAGAUGACUCGGGUGGAGGAGGAGGAGGAGAAAAGUGGAUUAAUGCAGUUUGUGAAGCAGAGUGGAGGAUGGUGGGGAGGUGCCCCCAUCAGCAGCAGCCUUGGUCACCUGUACAAGCAGAGGUACGACAAUGUGUCUCGGUACCUGGAAAAGAAGAAAGAGAGGAUGUUAACAGAGGAGGCAUUCCAGCAGGGCCAAGGACCACCGCCAAAAAAGGGACGGUGGCUUAAAUAAAGAAAAUGGGGUGUUUUGGGGUUUUUAGGGGUGAUUAAAUGGUUUUUUUAUUGUUUUAUUUAUUUAUUUAUUUUUUUUUUUCGUUUUUUCGUUUUAUUUAUUUAUUUAUUUUGUUUUAUAUUUAUUUGUUUUCUGUAUCUCUUUUUUUCUUUGGGUUUCCUCAGUUUUAUUUUUUUGUUAUUGCUAUUAUUUUUUUUUUUUAUUCCUUUAUAUGGUAUUAUUAUUAUUAUUUUUUUUUUUUUAUUGUUUUGUUUGGUAAGUUUUAGGUUCUUUUUUGUUAUCUAUUUUUUUCUCGUUUUUUUUCAAGUUUUUGUUUAUUUCUUUUCUUUCCUCUGAUUUAUUUUUAUUAUUUUUUUGUGGUUUUUAUUUUUUUUAUCUAUUUUACUUUUAAAUUUUACUUAUUAUUAUUAUUAUUAUUAUUAUUAUCAUUAUUAUUAUUAUUAUUAUUAUUAUUAUUAUUAUUAUUAUUAUUAUUGUUGUUGUUGUUGUUGGUAUUAUUACUAUUAUUUACAUUUUUUCUAAUAGUAAUAACAAUUUUCCUUUAGCCUUUUCUGUAAUGUUUUUUCUAGCAAUAUAUAAAUCAAUAAAGUCAUAAAACACAAAUAUUCCAUACU